GUCUACGGCCAUACCACCCUGAACGCACCCGACCUCGUCUGAUCUCGGAAGCUAAGCAGGGUCAGGCCUGGUUAGUACUUGGAUGGGAGAAACUAGACAAAAUUACAAUAAAAUAGAAUAACCUAGAAACUAGACU
rnacentral:rRNA from 1 species